rnacentral:rRNA from 1 species
GAUGAACGCUGGCGGCGUGCUUAACACAUGCAAGUCGAACGGAAAGGCCCAAGCUUGCUUGGGUACUCGAGUGGCGAACGGGUGAGUAACACGUGGGUGAUCUGCCCUGCACUUCGGGAUAAGCCUGGGAAACUGGGUCUAAUACUGGAUAGGACCACUUCUUGGAUGUUGUGGUGGAAAGUUUUUUCGGUGUGGGAUGAGCUCGCGGCCUAUCAGCUUGUUGGUGGGGUAAUGGCCUACCAAGGCGUCGGCGGGUAGCCGGCCUGAGAGGGUGUACGGCCACAUUGGGACUGAGAUACGGCCCAGACUCCUACGGGAGGCAGCAGUGGGGAAUAUUGCACAAUGGGCGCGAGCCUGAUGCAGCGACGCCGCGUGGGGGAUGACGGCCUUCGGGUUGUAAACUCCUUUCGCUAGGGACGAAGCGUUUUGUGACGGUACCUGGAGAAGAAGCACCGGCUAACUACGUG